ACCCAAAUACACAUUUUCCGUAAUAAAAGCUAAAGAAAAUAUUCAACCAACCAAGUACUUAGUUAAAACAGCAUACAAUAAAAAACCGCAAGGGCACCUCUCUCACGUCAUUCAAAGAAGAGCUAACACACCCUCCCUUUAGCAUCAUGGAGAAGCAACACUACUAUAAUAACAAUUAAUCUCCCGAAAAGUCAUGAGCUACUAAUUCCACAGAAUUAAUGUAUCAAUAUUAGUUAAACAGCCAUUAGUAGAGGCAACAAACCUCCCACAUGAUCUGAUAACUGGCUUCCCCUGAAAAGCAUCAAAGUGCUAGCUUACAGGCUAUAUAAACACUGAAUACACCGCUGUAAGACACAUACCACUGAGGACAAGCUCGGCAGUAACAACACAAAAUACCCUAACACCACACUCAUUUCCAGUAGGCCUAAAAUCAGCCAACAAAACACGUCCUAGUGCAUAAACACUAACCACCUAUUAUCUAAAUCAUAAUUUUAACUAAAAGGAGAUCCACCGCAAAACAUUUACGGUGGCAAACAGGCAUUCUACUAGUAUUAACAAACUGAGCUAACCCCACUCGACCAAGAAAAAAUGGGGAAACACCUAUCAUGUCUACCUAAACCAUACAAAGUUAACUCGGCAAAACCUAUUCUCGCCUGUUUACCAAAAACAUCGUUUUCUGUCAACAUACAUAGAAAAUACUGCCUGCCCAAUGACUAAUCCGCACUAGUUAAAUGGCCGCGUUAGCGUGAGCGUGCUAAGGUAGCGUAAUAAUUAGCCCCUUAAUUGGGGGCCAGUGAAAGGCAAGACGAGAAAAAACUUUCCCUUGUAUGUCAAAAUAACCUUACAUCCGAGUGAAAAGUCUCGGAUACUUGAGGAAGACAAAAAGACCCUGCGGAGCUUUACCUCAUUUUGCCAACGUUACUUACAUAACCAUUAAGCUAAAAGGUUUGGUUGGGGCAACCUUGGAACAACCAAAUCUUCCAAUCUACAUCCUUUAUAAAGCACAUAUACAACUAGUUAUGGGCCACAAAGAAGCUACCCCAGGGAUAACAGCGUAAUCCAGCUUUAGAGUACACAUCGAAAGCUGGGUUUGCGACCUCGAUGUUGGCUUAAGGUAAUUCACAUAAGCGCAGCCGCUAUGAGAGAGUAGUCUGUUCGACUAUUAUACCCUUACAUGAGCUGAGUUAAGACCGGCGCAAGCUAGGUUGGUUUCUAUCUCCUCUAAUUCUAAUACAACUCUCUAUUGUACGAAAGGACCUUGAGAUAUGCACAUUCUAACAGCAACCUUCUAAACCAUUACUCCACACUAGUCACCUAUUGAUAUUCCCACCCUUAA
rnacentral:rRNA from 1 species